GCAGUCGAACGAACUCUGGUAUUGAUUGGUGCUUGCAUCAUGAUUUACAUUUGAGUGAGUGGCGAACUGGUGAGUAACACGUGGGAAACCUGCCCAGAAGCGGGGGAUAACACCUGGAAACAGAUGCUAAUACCGCAUAACAACUUGGACCGCAUGGUCCGAGCUUGAAAGAUGGCUUCGGCUAUCACUUUUGGAUGGUCCCGCGGCGUAUUAGCUAGAUGGUGGGGUAACGGCUCACCAUGGCAAUGAUACGUAGCCGACCUGAGAGGGUAAUCGGCCACAUUGGGACUGAGACACGGCCCAAACUCCUACGGGAGGCAGCAGUAGGGAAUCUUCCACAAUGGACGAAAGUCUGAUGGAGCAACGCCGCGUGAGUGAAGAAGGGUUUCGGCUCGUAAAACUCUGUUGUUAAAGAAGAACAUAUCUGAGAGUAACUGUUCAGGUAUUGACGGUAUUUAACCAGAAAGCCACGGCUAACUACGUGCCAGCAGCCGCGGUAAUACGUAGGUGGCAAGCGUUGUCCGGAUUUAUUGGGCGUAAAGCGAGCGCAGGCGGUUUUUUAAGUCUGAUGUGAAAGCCUUCGGCUCAACCGAAGAAGUGCAUCGGAAACUGGGAAACUUGAGUGCAGAAGAGGACAGUGGAACUCCAUGUGUAGCGGUGAAAUGCGUAGAUAUAUGGAAGAACACCAGUGGCGAAGGCGGCUGUCUGGUCUGUAACUGACGCUGAGGCUCGAAAGUAUGGGUAGCAAACAGGAUUAGAUACCCUGGUAGUCCAUACCGUAAACGAUGAAUGCUAAGUGUUGGAGGGUUUCCGCCCUUCAGUGCUGCAGCUAACGCAUUAAGCAUUCCGCCUGGGGAGUACGGCCGCAAGGCUGAAACUCAAAGGAAUUGACGGGGGCCCGCACAAGCGGUGGAGCAUGUGGUUUAAUUCGAAGCUACGCGAAGAACCUUACCAGGUCUUGACAUACUAUGCAAAUCUAAGAGAUUAGACGUUCCCUUCGGGGACAUGGAUACAGGUGGUGCAUGGUUGUCGUCAGCUCGUGUCGUGAGAUGUUGGGUUAAGUCCCGCAACGAGCGCAACCCUUAUUAUCAGUUGCCAGCAUUAAGUUGGGCACUCUGGUGAGACUGCCGGUGACAAACCGGAGGAAGGUGGGGAUGACGUCAAAUCAUCAUGCCCCUUAUGACCUGGGCUACACACGUGCUACAAUGGAUGGUACAACGAGUUGCGAACUCGCGAGAGUAAGCUAAUCUCUUAAAGCCAUUCUCAGUUCGGAUUGUAGGCUGCAACUCGCCUACAUGAAGUCGGAAUCGCUAGUAAUCGCGGAUCAGCAUGCCGCGGUGAAUACGUUCCCGGGCCUUGUACACACCGCCCGUCACACCAUGAGAGUUUGUAACACCCAAAGUCGGUGGGGUAACCUU
rnacentral:rRNA from 2 species